rnacentral:rRNA from 1 species
GGUUUCCCUUUACGAAUUGUAGUUUAAAGAAGUGUUUUCUGCUGAGGUUUUGGUAAAAGUUCUUUGGAAUAGGACAUCAUAGAGGGUGAGAAUCCCGUAUUUGACCUUUACUUUCAACUUUGUGAUACACUUUCAAAGAGUCGGAUUGUUUGGGAAUGCAGUCCAAAAUGGGUGGUAAAUUUCAUCUAAAGCUAAAUAUUGGCGAGAGACCGAUAGCGAACAAGUACCGUGAGGGAAAGAUGAAAAGAACUUUGAAAAGAGAGUUAAACAGUACGUGAAAUUGUCAAAAGGGAAGCGUUUGACACCAGUGUUGUUUUUCUGAAAAUCAAUUAAAGAACUGUUUAUGCUAAGCUGUUUGGACUUUAUCAGCUAUCUGUUUAGUUUUGAGCUUUUCUUU